rnacentral:rRNA from 1 species
AACGAUGGGUGCUAGUUGUCAGGCAGCAUGCUGUUUGGUGACGCAGCUAACGCGUUAAGCACCCCGCCUGGGGACUACGGUCGCAAGACUAAAACUCAAAGGAAUUGACGGGGGCCCGCACAAGCGGUGGAGCAUGUGGUUUAAUUCGAGGCAACGCGAAGAACCUUACCGGCCCUUGACAUACCAAUCGCGGAUAGCAGAGAUGCUUUCCUUCAGUUCGGCUGGAUUGGAUACAGGUGCUGCAUGGUUGUCGUCAGCUCGUGUCGUGAGAUGUUGGGUUAAGUCCCGCAACGAGCGCAACCCUCGCCUUUAGUUGCCAGCAUUAAGUUGGGCACUCUAGAGGGACUGCCGGUGAUAAGCCGGAGGAAGGUGGGGAUGACGUCAAAUCAUCACGGCCCUUACGGGCCGGGCUACACACGUGCUACAAUGGCGGUGACAGUGAGCAGCCACUCAGCGAUGAGGAGCUAAUCUCUAAAAGCCGUCUCAGUUCGGAUUGUUCUCUGCAACUCGAGAGCAUGAAGUUGGAAUCGCUAGUAAUCGUGGAUCAGCAUGCCACGGUGAAUACGUUCCCGGGCCUUGUACACACCGCCCGUCACACCAUGGGAGUUGGUUUUACCCGAAGACUGUGUGCUAACUUUUAGAGGCAGCAGGCCACGGUAAGGUCAGCGACUGGGGUGAAGUCGUAACAAGGUAGCCGUA